CCCGUCACGUCAUGGGAGUUGUCAAGGCGUGAAGUCCGUGGGCUGACCGGAGCGAUCCGGAGGCAGCGGCCGAGCGCCGGGGCAGCGACUGGGACG
rnacentral:rRNA from 1 species